rnacentral:tRNA from 1 species
CCGACCUUAGCUCAGUUGAUAGAGCGGAGGACUGUAGAUCCUUAGGUCGCUGGUUCGAAUCCGGCAGGUCGGA